rnacentral:rRNA from 1 species
GACGAACGCUGGCGGCGUGCUUAACACAUGCAAGUCGAACGAUGAAGCUGGAGCUUGCUCUGGUGGGUUAGUGGCGAACGGGUGAGUAACACGUGAGUAACCUGCCCUGGACUCUGGGAUAACCCCGAGAAAUCGGAGCUAAUACCGGAUAGGACCUCGGAUCGCAUGAUCUGGGGUGGAAAGUUUUUCGGUCUGGGAUGGACUCGCGGCCUAUCAGCUUGUUGGUGAGGUAAUGGCUCACCAAGGCGUCGACGGGUAGCCGGCCUGAGAGGGUGACCAGCCACACUGGGACUGAGACACGGCCCAGACUCCUACGGGAGGCAGCAGUGGGGAAUUUUGGACAAUGGGCGCAAGCCUGAUCCAGCCAUGCCGCGUGCAGGAUGAAGGCCUUCGGGUUGUAAACCGCUUUUAGUAGGGAGGAAGCCUUCGGGUGACGGUACCUGCAGAAAAAGGACCGGCUAACUACGUGCCAGCCGCCGCAGUAACAC